rnacentral:lncRNA from 1 species
AGGAAUUCACAGAGCCAGAGAGACACUGAUGGAGGAUGUCCUUUCUGGAUUUGCUUGAGAACAUUUAGAAAAGUUUCCAAUGAUUGGCCCUAGAUGGAUGGCGGCAGUAAGGUUGCCAAGACGGGCCUGUACCUAGCAAAGGUAUUUGUGUAAUCAAAGCUUCUGGAACUUUCCCUGCCAAGGCUACCAAUGUGAAUAGGCUCCUGAGGUAAAAAUGUUCUCCCCGCUGGGGACGGCGCCCUUGAAGUCUACAUCAAAAUCAAGCCAGGGUCACAGCUGUUGCGGCACCCCACAGUGGAAAACUUGCAAGAAAUCCCAGCCUGAACUACUGCUUUGCCUCAGGUCUACAGGAAACAGGCCCCAGAGAAGGGGAGAGAGAGAGAGAAAGAGGAGAGAGGAGAGAGGAGAGAAGAGAGAGAGAGAGAGGGGGAGACAGAGAGAGAGAGGGAGAGAAAGAGAGAGAGAGAGAGAGAAAGAGAGAGAUAAACUUUGGGGGUGGGAAGACAAAGCCACUUGAGAACCUUGUCCUCUUCAUGGAGACAGUCCACACCCACCCCAUUCACCCUCACCUUAUGUGAGCUGGGGUUCCCGCAGGUUGGCCAAGAACCACUAGGUGGCAGCAGAUUAACUCUUCAGCUGCCAGGAUGAGCUGGGGGCAGUUAGGAGCUGAGUAUGAAAACUUUGUAUCUGUCACUUCCCUCAAAGGAAAGAAAAAAAAAUGACUUUUUCUGUACCCCAAAGAUCCUUGGCUUGCAGAUUAGGUAUUGGAGAAAAAUCUUUGAGGGGUUGAGAUUGCUUCUUGGGUCACCUGUUCUUAGGCUUGAAUUAGAGUGAAAUGCAAUUGUAUGUACUCCAUGUUGUAUAACUUGGAUGACACUUGGUUCACACUUUGUUCAAGGGACUGAAAGAUCCUUUAAGAAAUUUAUGCUCACAUUCAAAUUCCCUUCAACAAAUGCUAAAUAUAAGAAUUAAUGAGUGUAUUCCAUUUUCCAGGGACAGUGCUAAUGGUCACCUAGAUGGCCAAUACCCCUGCCCUCUGGGAGUUAAUGGGGAAGACAGGCAUUAAAAAAAAAUAGCAUUCUUGCACUUAACCACUUUGGAUGAGUCAAGGAAUCCAGACUUAAAUCUGCUAUGGAUAAAGAAGAAAAAAAUAAGUUAAAGGAAUACAGGCUUAUGAAAGUCAUUUACAUUAAGCUUCUGUUACAUGGGAAGGUAACAGGUUUUUAGGGCUUAGGUUUUUAGGGUGGCCAGUAACCUAAAAUAUGGGAGCCACCAGAAAGAAACUUUACCAGCAUGGUUUAUAUAUGCUUGCUGUUCAAAUGACAAAGAAAACAAAUCUUUCUCUUGAGUGUUCUAGCCUCUGCAAAGCAUCCCCUUGUUCUACCUAUUAAACCUCUGCCACAAAUAUAAAAAUAA